UAUAUUUAGAAAAUGGGUGUUGACAGACACCCCUAAGGUAUGAAACUGCGGUCUUCCCAAGAGUAUUGCAAAAGAGACACGUAUGUCUAAGACCACAGACUCAGACAUAGAUUCGAUGGGCCCUACUUUCACCAAAGCCUUAAAGAUUUCGCAAGCUUUCCUCUUUGACUAAUUAUAGCCUCUAAUGAUAGUGGAAGUGGGCUUGGGAUCAUCUUUCUCUAACCUAUACUUGCUCAGGAAUCUUAGGGGGCAUAUGUU
rnacentral:lncRNA from 1 species